rnacentral:rRNA from 1 species
GACGAACGCUGGCGGCGUGCUUAACACAUGCAAGUCGAACGGUGAAGCGCCUUCCUUUUUGGUGGGUGUGGAUGAGUGGCGAACGGGUGAGUAACACGUGAGUAACCUGCCCCCUUCUUCUGGAUAACCGCAUGAAAGUGUGGCUAAUACGGGAUAUUCUGGGUCUGUCGCAUGAUGGGUCUGGGAAAGAUAUUGUUUCGGUGGGGGAUGGGCUCGCGGCCUAUCAGCUUGUUGGUGGGGUGAUGGCCUACCAAGGCGGUGACGGGUAGCCGGCCUGAGAGGGUGGACGGUCACACUGGGACUGAGACACGGCCAAGACUCCUACGGGAGGCAGCAGUGGGGAAUAUGGCACAAUGGGCGCAAGCAUGAUGCAGCGACGCCGCGUGAGGGAUGGAGGCCUUCGGGUUGUGAACCUCUUUCGCCAGUGAAGCAGGCCUGCCUCGUUUGUGGGUGGGUUGACGGUAGCUGGAUAAGAAGCGCCGGCUAACUACGUG